rnacentral:misc_RNA from 1 species
UUAUAUAAACACAAAAUACAUAUUUAAUUAUUAAAUUAAAAAAAUUAAAAUUAAAAAUCAAUUUAGAAGAGUCAAUUGACUCAUUUUCCAUCUUGAUUUAUCGAUAAAAAAAUCAAUUAAUCCCUUACAUUUUUAAUGAUUAUUUGACAAAUCAAUAGUAAUAACUACCAAUUCAAUGUAAAAGGAUAAACCGGAAGGAAUAAGAAAGAUUCAAAGCCAAAAGAAUGUUAUGUGGCCUAAAAGCCAAAAUGCAGAAACAUGGUAGCCAUCAAUUCUAGCAACAAUACGCCAUUGAAACCAUGCAUCAGGAAGAAUGCUGGUUUAUAUUCCAGCCUCAAAAUCUUUCACCGCUUUUUCUUUGGUUUUAAUUUUAAAUGUCUUGAACACAACAUAUAUUAAAAUGAUUUGUAUUGAAGGAAAUUAUUAUUUGGGCAAGUUAGCUGUUUGAGUACUAAGUAAUGCCCUCCCUUUGCAGAAUAUAGUCCACUGCCUCUGCAACGGUAUCCACCACCUGCAAAGUUGAAAGCGAAACAUAUUCAGAUAAUAAUAACAAUAAUAAUGUGAUUUCCCCAACCCUCAUUGAUUGUUUAGAGGAAAAAGGCAUAUGCAUGUGUACAUGCUUGUCUUCUUUUGUAUUGUCAAAUGAUAUAUUUGGCAUGCAUAUUGAAAAAUUCAUCAUUUAACUUGCCAGAUCUGCAGGAAACUCUGCAUGGUUACUUUCCCCUCGAAAAACGCCUGUCCUCGUCAAGAUAGAAAACCAAGGAUUUCCAGCCUGAAAGUAAAAUAAGAUAAUACUCUUUUAUUUACUAAAGAAAAUCAGAGAUUAUUUACUGCCUAUGAUAAUUAAAAUGAUCUGAAUAGCUUAUAGGCUCAAUCAGUCAAAAGCCACAAUUACAACAAAUAGGCACGGCGAACCUGAUGGGCACCUUUGACGUCAACAGAAGGAUUGUCACCAAUCAUAUAAAGGGUUUUCAAAGGAGGUGAUCCAGGUCCUCCACAUUCCUUGAAAUUAGAUUCAAUAUGACAACACAGCUGAAGCUGGCUUAAUAUAGCUUCAGCGUUCUUGAAUACAAAUGGAAUUGGUUUCCCAAAAGAUACAUACUCUAGAGCAUUGUGGUGGAUUCUGAAAGCAAUGACAAACAUAAAAGAUCUUAGCGUAGAAACCACUGAUAGUGUAGCAAGUAACAAGAUAGCUUGCAACAGGUUAGGCUCUAAAAUAUUGAACUCAAACCAAACCAAUAAUGUCUCGGUAAUGUAAGCUUUUCAGGUUAAUAACUCUCACAGCACUUUCAAGUUCAACUAUACUGUUCCACCCACAGCUAUAUGAAAAGAACUGUUUCAUCAUAUGUAAUAUCAAUCAGUGCUACACAACAAAUAUUCAAUCUGUACAAUCACAAAAUCUACCAUGCAAAAUCAAAAGAUAAACAUUCAACCAUAGUAUCCCAAGCAUAAUCUCCAUCGUCAAAGAAAAUUCCAAUCAUAAAUUAAAAAUAAUAAUAAACAGCCAAGGGCCCAAGGUUCAGAUUUGGACUGUUUUGGCUAAAAAAUCAAAAGGAUAAAAAGAUAUUUGACUGGAGAGAGGAGAAAGAAUAAACUACUGCCUAUGUAAACAAUCUAGAUCUCAAGAAGUAGAAUAGAGGAUAAGAAAAAUAAGAGGAGAAAAAAUUAAGUGAAACAGUCAGUGAAGAAUGCGAGGCAUUCUGCAUGGAAGUGGAAAUUAAUCUGGAUGGGAAAGUACUAGGUAUAAUAAACAAAUGAACAGAAGUUAAUGGGCUAACCUUUGCAUAGAAAACAUCAAUUCUGAUGAAAGGAAAGCAUAAAAAAAAAAAAAAGUGUUGUCUAAGAUUUGUAUUGGGAAUUCAAGUCACAAACAAAGCAGUUACUCCAGUUGCUAAAUGCAAGCUAAACAUAUGCUACCUAUUCUCUUAACUUUUCAAGUUCAAAUGGUUUUUCUAUGUACUUCUUGAAAAUUACCUAUUUCUCUUUCCAAAAUAAUCUCCAAAUUAUGAAAUAAAGAAAGGACAUAAUACUAAGGAAGCAAUCUGAAAGCACAACUUUAAACAACACUAAGCUUUUAGCACUUUCUGAGGUCAUUUAGACAUGAAACACCAAGUAUUGGUGUAUCUAUGAACCACUCAGGCUGAUAAAAUCCUAAUUAGGGCAAAAAAGAGGACAUUAAAUAAUUUAAAUUGCAUGAGCACUAACCUUACCUGUUGAAGACACUCUCCAGAGCAAUUCUGAAAGCACCCAUUCCAAGACGCUGAGAAGGAAAUGCAGCCUGAUAUUCAAGAUCAUCAGCAGCAAAAUAUAACGGGGGUUGAUGCCCAUUCUCCUGUCCAGGAAGGCCUCCAGAUCUUAAAACAUCACUGAGAACCUGAAUAUCCCUGCCCCAAUCUACAGGAUCACUGACAAUAAAUACUGCUUUAACUGCUUCAGAAGAAACAUUGCAUCUUGGUGUCAUAUUGAGAGAGAGACUACCCUUAGUCCUAUUUGAUACCUGCUCAGUUGUCCAUCUCUUGUAUUGAGACACAGGAUCAAUAUUCUCAAAGAAAGAGGCAUACUCUUCUAAAGAGAGAACCUUUUUGAAACCAUACUCAGACAUAACUAGAGCAGGUUCCCCUUUUCCAGUGGCAAUAAUGAGUUGAUUCUCAUAUCUGGGGAAAAUAUUUGAAAGUCAGUUAGGUAUAAUAAAUAAUUAUGACAAAAAUAAUUGUUAUGCUACAAAAAAGAAAUCUUGUUGUCAAAUAAAUUUCCUCAUGAAACCACAAAAGAAUAUUAUUCCCACAACACAACCUUCACAGGCAUAUUCUAUGAAGUAUAUCCAAGUAUUCCAUAAGUGCAUCAAGAUAGGAAUAAAGUAAUGAAUACACCUGAAAAACUUUGGGGGAAUCAAUAGGACCUCUUUUCCCCCUUGGAUGAUUAAUUAAAAUUUGGCUACCAUUUCUUUGGUCCCAACUCCCAAUAUUCAUAUUUUUUGUUGUAAUCAUAAAAUAAAGUGCACACGGAAUGGAAAGUAUAGCUAUCUUUAAGAAUGAAACAAAUUUAUUUAGCAUGUGAGAAUCCACCAAACUCAAUCUGGUCUACAUCUAAAGACAAAAUGACCCUAAACAGUCCCACCUUCACCUCUUGUGCUGCUGAAGGGCACACUCUAUUCUAACAACUUUCCAAUGAUGAGGUGUGGUUAAUAUAUUAUUAUAUUCAUAUUAACAUAUAAUUUAAGAAAUAUUGAGAUUAACAGGAUCAAAUUUAAGAAUAUAAUGAAAAUAUAGUCCACAAGAAAUGAAAAUGUCAAAAUUAUGUUUAGGACGGAUAUACUAUUUUCAAAUUGAAGAUGUAUAAAUACAAAAAUAAAAAAAGCAGCAAAUCAACAUAUAUAUAUAUAUAUAUGUACCUCUUCAACAGAUUUUUAAAAGGUGAGUGACCCUGUAAAACCUGUGUGAGGAAAAAAAGAACAGCUAUGCCAGAGGUUCCAUCAGUCAAAUCUCAAAUGGUGCCAAAGGUAAAGUUCAUUGUGUACAAUAUCUUUCAGCAGUACCUGAGAAGGUAAAAUCUUUACACCCAGAAUUUCACUCAACUCAAUGGCUCGUCUAGAUUCUGGAAUGCCACCUCCUAAUCAAACAGAACUACAUGGCAUUAGUCAUUUCAUUGCUUAGUUGUGUAUCCUGGCUUUCAAAAGUCAAGAGUAUCAUGAAAUAUGCAAUGUUCCAGGAACAAAUAUCAUAGAAAGAACCAUCUGGAAAAAGGUUGGUGCAGGAACAUAGGUUUGAUCCAUACAUAGUGCCAUUCUGAUAUCCAUAAUUCAUUCCACUUGUCAUGAUCAAUAUGAACAAGUAUUUAUAUAAUGGAAUCAAUAUUUUUCCUUUGGUCAUAUAUCCAUACCAUUCUCUCGAGAAACUGCAAAUUGACUAUUAAAGUUUAAUAUUCUAAGCAACUCACCAUUUGUCAAGAACAAAAAGGGAACCUUCAAAGACCCUGUAAAGAUGAAGUAAUCAUCAAACUUAGUUGUAACAAACAAGGAUAAGGCAAGUUGGUAGAGGUUAUCUCUAAUUACCACAAAGAAUUGGGGGAAAAAAAAAGGACCCCAUAAACCAGGAUGAAGUUCCUUUCCUUCCUAUAUCCAAAUAUCACCUUAAUUACCCAAAUUCAGUGUUGAUCCUUCUAUCUGCCACAACAUUUUCACAGAAAUAAAAAAUAGACAUUCUGAAGAUCAAUCUAUCGGAUUCUUUUGUUUAGGAACUCAAACAAUAACGUCUGCUGAACUUUAGUUCAGAGUAAAGAUUACCAUAGUCAAGUUGAUUUCUCAAUUUGAAACCAAUAUUUAUUAAAGAUAAACUGAAACUACAACCUAAUUUAUCCCUUUCAAUUCCUCAAAAUUCUCUCCAACCACAUCCACACUAGUAGAAGUAGUGAAUCUGAAUCAUCUAUAUGAGUGUGUCUUUCUAUCUACAGAAAGAACAUGUAAAUACCAGAGUCUUCAUAUAAUCUCCUUAAAGCUUGAGGAGAGCCACCAAUGGGAACACGCCCACGAAGAAUAACCCCAUCAAUGUCGAACACGAUUCCAAAAGAAGAACACCUGCAAUCACUAAAAAAGUUCCAACUCUAACCUCCGCUUAAUUGAAAUAUAAAAUUAUAAUCGGUGCGAAUAAGAAAAACGAAUUGCAAAGAAUCAAAAGAACCGUUUUUCUUGCUGCUGCUUUGAUUGAAGCUGGCAGAAGGAACGAGAAGCUUGAGAUUGAAACAGAAAUGGCGGUCUAUUCUUGAUUUGGGAAACCCUAAACGCCAAUCUUCUCUGAAAUCUCAUCUCUACCUUUUCGUGUGGUGUAGUUUUGAAGGAAAGAGCUUG